AUGAGGGUGCAGCUGGAAAGAGCUGGGGUGGACUGCAACCUGGCUGCCUGGAUCACCGACUACCUCACUAACAGACCACAGUAUGUGAGACUACGUGGCUGUGAGUUGGAUGUGGUAGUCUGCAGCCCAGAGGCCCCACAAGUCUGUGACAGAAUCACUGUGGUAUUCGGACAAGGCACCAAGCUGAUUGUAACUGACUCGGCGCUGCCCGCUGGGUCUCUGACCCUCUUUCCUCCAUCCAGCGCAGAGCUGCAGGCCGACAGUCACUGUGGUGUGUGUGGCAGAGGACCUGCCCACAGGCUUUGCUGAGGUCAGCUGGGCGGUCAGUGGGAACCCGGUCAGCAGCGGCAUUAGCACCGGCUCCCCUCAGCAGCAGCCCAACAAGAAGUUCCGGCUCAGCAGCCUCCUGACCAUCCAGACGGCCGACUGGACCAGCGACAAAGACGUGUCCUGCCAGGUGGCCAGUGCCAGCUCCACAGCCUCCAAGAGCAUCAAGCAGUCAGAAUGCAGCAACUGAGGCCAAAGUUUUUUACUAAUGUUAGAUUGAAUGUUCUUUUGAAUGCUGCAUUAUUUUAUUUUAAUAAAGAGCAUAAGUUUG